GGCAGGCACAGCACUUGUUAGUAUUGCACAUAAAACAUGCCCCCAUAAAAAAAUGCCACAGGUAACCAGUGACAUGUUUUGUGGGGGCAUCUUUUAUGUGCAAUAAUACAUAUCGUCCAAUACAGACAUCCAAAUUUCAUGUUAGUGCAAAAUCCAUUUUAUUGAUAAGUGCUUUUGGGGCCGUCGUCCAAUCCACAAGCGCGCCCGG